CCCUGGCCUCAUACUCUUACCACCACCACAGCUGUCAGGGCAGAGACCAUGGAGCUUGGCAGCAGAGGAGGGGGGCUGCAUGGGGCUCAGUCCACCCCUGUGAAAAAUCCUCCCCACUGCCCGCUACCUCUCACCCUGCAGCCAUUGCCCUGCUGAAGGACAAGGACCCUGGGGCCUUCCUGAUCAGGGACAGUCAUUCAUUCCAAGGAGCUUAUGGGCUGGCCCUCAAGGUGGCCACACCGCCACCCAGUGCCCAGCCCUGGAAAGGGGACCCCGUGGAACAGCUGGUCCGCCAUUUCCUCAUCGAGACUGGGCCCAAAGGGGUGAAGAUCAAGGGCUGCCCCAGUGAGCCCUACUUUGGCAGCCUGUCCGCCUUGGUCUCCCAGCACUCCAUCUCCCCCAUCUCCCUGCCCUGCUGCCUGCGCAUUCCCAGCAAAGAUCCUCUGGAAGAGACCCCAGAGGCUCCAGUGCCCACCAACAUGAGCACAGCGGCAGACCUCCUGCGUCAGGGUGCUGCCUGCAGUGUGCUCUACUUGACCUCAGUGGAGACAGAGUCACUGACGGGCCCCCAAGCUGUGGCCCGGGCCAGCUCUGCAGCUCUGAGCUGUAGCCCCCGCCCGACACCAGCUGUUGUCCACUUCAAGGUGUCAGCCCAGGGCAUUAC
rnacentral:sRNA from 1 species